rnacentral:RNase_P_RNA from 1 species
CGAGUCGGUCAGGCGAUCGCUUCUCGCGGCUUUCGGGCUCGCGGGGGGAGGAAAGUCCGGGCUCCACAGGGCAGGGUGCCAGGUAACGCCUGGGGGGCGAGAGCCUACGGAAAGUGCAGCAGAAAGGAAACCGCCCAAAGAAGGGGUUCGCCCCUUUUUGAGAACCGCUAAAAGGGGUCUGACCCCUUUUAUGGUUGGGUAAGGGUGAAAAGGUGCGGUAAGAGCGCACCGCGCGGCUGGUAACAGGCGUGGCGAUGGUAAACCCCACCCGGAGCAAGACCAAAUAGGAAUCCGUAAGCCGUGGCCCGCGGUGGAUUCGGGUAGGUCGCUUCAGGCAGCUGGCGACAGCUGUCGCAGAUGAAUGGUCGUCCACGACAGAACCCGGCUUAUCGACCGACUCCUUGA